rnacentral:lncRNA from 1 species
AUGGCUCCUUGCAAGUCAAGAGGUUCUGAAAGGCAUUCUCUUGGAAAAGUCUGUGAAGACGCAAAGGAUUUUCCUGGAAAAAAAAUGUGGUCAUGUGUAAAGACACAGCAUCUUGGCUGUCUGCUAAAAAAAUGUACACUCACUUGGUGGAGAUUGAACCGCGGACUGCAAAAUAUCCCAUGGCAGAUUAUCAUCAUUUAAGGUAAUUUUUCCUUUAUACCCCCUUCCCCCUCUCCCUUUUUAAGAGCGGCACCGCGUCCUCGGGACGGGAGCCCUCCUGCUCCCGGGUCCUUACCGCCCGUCUUACAAUAACUUCGAAAAUUACAUCGUCCAGCUUAAAUUCUCGCAUUGUGUUCCCUUUGCUAAGGCAACCAGGGGUUCACCGAGAGGACAAAUUUUCUAUCCCAUUAAUUGUUUUUUUUAGAGAAGCAGUCUGACCCUUCAAACCCUUGACCUUUAAAGACAGUAUUCUUUUU